GGACUACACGGGUUUCUAAUCCUGUUUGCUCCCCUAGCUUUCGUUCUUCAGCGUCAGUAGUGGUCCAGCGCGCCGCUUUCGCCACGGGUGUUCCUGCAGAUAUCUACGCAUUUCACCGCUACACCUGCAAUUCCACGCGCCUCUCCCACACUCAAGCACGGCAGUUUUGGAAGCAGCCUCUGGGUUGAGCCCAGAGAUUUCACUCCCAACUUGCCACACCGCCUACGAACCCUUUACACCCAGUAAUUCCGAACAACGCUGGCCCCCUACGUCUUACCGCGGCUGCUGGCAC
rnacentral:rRNA from 1 species